GGGGGAUCUGGGUGAACCACAUAUCCAAAAUUCACCCAGAUCCGUUCAGUACUUUGGAAAAUACAGUUUAAUGCAGAUUCUGCAGAACAUAUACAGGCUAAAUGAAAAACAAUCACUUUAUAAUGUGUCCCCUGCUGUAUAGUCCAAAACCACUGCACGAUGUCUCUGUGCACCAAAUACUGGCAAGAUGGCACCGUGUUGAAAAGUCCAAACAGUGUCUAUGAGUUAAAAUGGCCGCCAUCCAUUGUUCUCACCAUGUGCUUCUGAUACAGGAAAUGGUGGCCACCCAGUAACUCCACAGUAUGUCCC